CGGGGGCCGGGGCGCCUCUUCCCGCGACCGUCCCGCCCCGGGGAGGGGGCAGCGCCCGCCUCCGGCCACACCUGUGGCGCAGCGGCGGAGGAAGCGGCCGGAGGUCCGCGCAGACGGCUCGGCGCCCGGCGGCACCAUGACGGUGGGUGCGCGGCUGGGCGUCAAGGCGAGGGGCAGGUACUCCCGCCGCGGGCCCGGUGACGACCAGGUCUCCAUCCUGCCCGGCGAGGAGGAGGCGGAGGAAGCGGCGGCGGCUGGGGGCAGCGCGGGGGCCCCGCGGGCGGCGGCGCUGGAGGAGGAGGAGGAGGAGGAGGGCGCUGCCUCCAGGAAGGUGCGCUUCGCCCUCCUGCCCGACUCCUACGAGCCCCUGCGCCCGCCGCGGGCCGGCAGCAAGCGGCCCUACGGGAAACGGCUGAAGAAGUACGGCAAGGCAGUUCGGGCGUCGGUGCUUGGCUCCGAGGCGGGGGUCAGCCCGCUGGCUUGCUCCUGCUCCUGCUCCUGCCGGGGAGGAGCCGCUCCUGCCGGGGAAGGCGCGACACGGACCCUCGCCUGGAUCAGAGAGUAGAAAAUCUGCCGUUUCGGAGUGAAAACGACACUAAGCUGAUCCAUGUGACGGUGACCGAAAGAAAGGGCAGUAACAUCCCUCCAGGACGCUCAUUUGCCAGUUUACCUUCUAGUGUUCCCGGAAAAAUCACUGCUGUGAGUUAAAAUAAAAAUGCAACGUGUUCUUCAUUGUAUAACUACUAUUUUGGAGCGAAAUCGGUCUUUUGCUUUCCUGUGUGGAAAGUCCCAAGUCCUGCAGUCUGGUGGUUUAUUUGGAUGUUUGGGGUUUUUUAUCCCUGGAGGGUGGGUGGUGCCUUUGAUUACAAAAGUCCUGUUUGGAAGAAUUCGAUUAUUUUUCUGGUGUUCAUGUCACUUAAACACAGCUCAGCUAUGUCUUGGAUAUUUUAGCAAAAACCAGUUUCUGUGUUAGCAGGAAAAACCUGUCUGGUGUCGGGAAUCUUUUCCUACUGGAGAGAUUACAGACGGCAGUACAAGACAUGCCUUUCUGCUGCGUUCUUUAAAAAAAUGAUGAUUUUGGUAAAGAUAUGCUUGCUAUGUCUGACAUGCAGAAAAUGCUGGUUAGCUUGGCAAAGUUACUUGCUUUUAAAAUUCACAAGAGUUUACAGCUGACAGCAUAGUCAUGAGCCUCCCACAAAUACUACUGCUGCCUAAAGAGAUGAAUCGACUAUUCCGUUCUUCCGGGAUGGAUUUGAUACUUCAGGUUCCCAACGCUGGGAUUUCCAACCACCUGUAGUAUGAAGCAGUCUCAAGCCCGAAGAGCUUCCAGCGUAGGCUUGAUUUAUACAGAGCAGUUUUGUGAGCAUGGUUACGGCGCAGCAGUUCAUAAAUUUGCUGAUGUGCUAUUGCUAUAGGUGCUGUUGGUAUAAGGGCGCUUAUACUAGCGUUUUGAGCACCAGGUAGUCCUUGAACACUGCAUAUUCCCUUUUGCAUUGGUCAGACAACAUCCCCACGGGGAACGUUUGCCAGCUUGGCUUUGACAGUAAAGAGCAACUCGUGAAAGCAUUGGUGAGGUCUGGGUAGGUAAGUUGCAGGGAUACGGUGCAGGGAGGAGGAAUGAAGUCACCAGUGUGACAUAGUAGGACGAGGGCAGAUGUGGGAAGGGAAAGCCCUGCGCCUCCUCUAUCCUCAGGCUCUGCCCCUGGGCUCCAGCUGCCUUUUUAUUUUGCCAUCCUAACUCCCUUCAAGUAAGUUUCCAUAGGAGUAAAUACAGCAAAAUUCAGCUACGUAGUGGCAUCGUGACAGCUGAAGGUUUUCACGUGCCAGUACCGCUGUAAUCCAGCUUUAAGAAAUCCUAGGAAUAUCGUAGAUAUUGACUGGAUUUCACAGAUUUAAAAGUAUAUCCUCUGUUUCAGUGUUUUUCAUGUUACAGGAGAUGAUUUUGAUCUAGUCCCAAGCCACCAUAAAGCGUUACUAACAGUUACUUCUCGUGUUCCUCCCAAACUGACCACAUUACAUUAAUUCCCCAGCCAUGUGAGCAAAAACUAGCAAGAGUGAAAUUAAAAUUAGUUUAAGGUUUUUAGUUUAAAUUAUCUGUAGCAAGUUAUCUCUAAUGCAGUACACAGAUGAGUUCUUGAAUGUUUACAGAUGUGAAAGUGGGUCAAAACAGUCGUAUUUUGUCCAAAAAAAUCUUGUUUUGACAAAAAGCAAUGAAAUUUCCAUGGAGGUAUUCUCAGUGAUUUAUUGCCUUCUUGUUCAGCUCUAGUUUUAACAGCUUAUGUGCUUUUAAGAGUUACUAAUGUACUUAGAACAUGUGUGCAGGGUAAACACGUACCUCUACAAACUAGGUAUGAAUUUAAACUAAUUUUAUUCUUGAAUAGAAGCCCACGUAAAAGCCUGGCUUCCUGCGGAGGCUGCAUCCGUUCGCUUUAACUAUACUCUGUGGGUGUGUAUUUUCUGUAUAAAAAUAGAUGGUAAAAUGUUGUUCCAUGCUCAAGCCUUCAUUAGCUGUGGGAGAAGUUAAUUUUCUGGGUUGGUGACAUUGGCUGUCAGAACGAUUUUAUGUGAAGGUAUUUUCUAUCACCUCUCUUUUUUUUUGCUUUUUUUCUUUUCUU